UACGAACUGUGCGAACGUUAUUCGGAAUCACUGGGCUUACAGGGUGCGUAGGCGGCUCAACAAGUCAGGUGUGAAAGCCCCCGGCUCAACCGGGGAACUGCGCUUGAAACUGUGAGGCUCGAGUCAGCUAGAGGUACACGGAACUUCCAGUGGAGCGGUGAAAUGUGUUGAUAUUGGAAGGAACACCGGAGGCGAAAGCGGUGUACUGGGGCGGGUCUGACGCUGAGGCACGAAAGCCAGGGGAGCGAACGGG
rnacentral:rRNA from 1 species